UACGUAGGUGGCAAGCGUUGUCCGGAAUUAUUGGGCGUAAAGCGCGCGCAGGCGGUCCCUUAAGUCUGAUGUGAAAGCCCACGGCUCAACCGUGGAGGGUCAUUGGAAACUGGGGGACUUGAGUACAGAAGAGGAAAGCGGAAUUCCACGUGUAGCGGUGAAAUGCGUAGAGAUGUGGAGGAACACCAGUGGCGAAGACGGCUUUCUGGUCUGUAACUGACGCUGAGGCGCGAAAGCGUGGGGAGCAAACAGG
rnacentral:rRNA from 1 species